AUACUUACCUGGCAGGGAAGGUACCAUGAUCAGAAAAGGUGUUUUUUUUCCCAGGUUGAGGCUUAUCCAUUGUACUCUGAUGAGCUGGCCUCCGCAAUUCACCCAACUUCAAGGAAACUCAGCUUCAUAAUUUGUGGUAGUGGUGUGUGUGUGGGUACUGUGUCCUC
ensembl:snRNA U1 U1 spliceosomal RNA